rnacentral:lncRNA from 1 species
AUUAAACUCUGCAGGAGAAAACACCAACCUGACAGCUAUCACAUACAUCUUUCUCAUUUCAGACUAGAAACCUGUUUCUCAGCAUAGCUCCCAACCAUACCCAUAAUAGGAUGCCAUGAUAUAUGACAGUCUAGUGGUUGCAUGAUGUCAAAAACAUGCUGUUUGGAAGCCAAUGCCAGAGUUAUGUGGCCUUGUCACAUAUUUCUUGGCCAACACCUUUUCUCUUCUGACCCAGGUCCAUCAUCAGUAGGCUCAAACUUACUGGAUCUGUUAUCUCAAGCAUUUUCAUGAGUUGCAGUCAAUGAAGUCCCACCGUGGUGCAAAUAAAAUUAAAAAAAAAUAAAGUGAGUCAUUUUGCAGACAAAAAAAUUAAACAUUUUGCAUAUCAUUAUACACCUAGUUUUAAAAAAAAUACAACAAAGGUUUGGUCAUGUGAAUAAUUGUAGGGUGCAUGCUUCAUAUGCUUGAGGCCCUGAGUUCAUUCCUCAGCAACAAAAAUAAAUGUAUAUGAUAUAUGUACACAUGUAAUAAGCAUUGAAAUAUUGAAUAUACUUUGGCAUCAAAAUUAAAGAGAGCUCAACAUAGUUAACUGAUUCUUCCUGUAAGCUUACAGGAUACAUGAGCAUUCCUCAUAGCCUGCACAGAAGGAUAAUAUGCAGAUCAUUUAUAUUCAAAAUCUCAAAUGCAGCCACUUGUGUAGUUAAGAAGAGAAGUAAAUACUUCUUUCUUCAAUUAAUUUGCUUAUAAAUAAUGUUGCUUAAAAUAUUGAACAAGUUUUUAUUUGUCUACUGUGCUUUAUAAGGAAGUUAGUUUAAAAACAUAAGGGAUUAAAAAAAAACAUACAGACUAGCAAAAAGCAGAAGUUAUCUUUUCAUGGAAAACAUAUUUUAAAUGAGGCUACUAGGUGUGGUGGCACAUGUCUGUAAUCCCA